AGGUAUGGACUGCGUACAUCUUACCCCCCAGACCCCACUAAGUGGGAAUACACUGGGUUUGUUGUUGUAUUUAAGCCUUGAUAUAUAGUGUGUGUGAUACAUAUUACAUUAAUAAAUGUGGAGAUAUAUAUAUUUGUGAUACAUUUAUUUUAAUAAAGGAGUAUUCAAAUACACCAACUACUCCUUCACUCUUCGGCGUCUUUCCUUCUUCGACGAACUCAAGUCAUCGAAAACAUUACCUCUGUCCCACCACUGAUUUACUUUCAUCGUCACACCACCUCCAACACACAAAAAUCAGCCACCAACUUCGAUCGGCAACACCUUUAAUGCACCCAUUUUAUUUUCUCCGUUAAACAAUCAAUCAGGCUGCAUCUCCUCCAGUGUAAACUCCCAAUUUUUCCCUAUCUCAAACCUUUUUGUUCAUUUUCUCACAUACCC
rnacentral:lncRNA from 1 species